GGGUGGCCUCUGGGAAAGCUAGGGACGGCGCCUGCGCAGUGGGUGUGAUCCGGGCACUUGGGGCAGGAUGAACGCUGCUUUCCAAGAUGGCGACGGAGGGAGGAGGGAAGGAGAUGAACGAGAUUAAGACCCAGUUCACCACCCGGGAAGGUCUUUACAAGCUGCUGCCGCAUUCGGAGUACAGUCGGCCCAACCGGGUGCCCUUCAACUCGCAGGGGUCCAACCCCGUGCGCGUCUCCUUCGUCAACCUUAACGACCAGUCUGGCAACGGCGACCGCCUCUGCUUCAAUGUGGGCCGGGAGCUCUACUUCUACAUCUACAAGGGGGUCCGCAAGGCUGCUGACUUGAGUAAACCGAUAGAUAAAAGGAUAUACAAAGGAACACAGCCUACAUGUCAUGACUUCAACCACCUAACAGCCACAGCAGAAAGUGUCUCUCUACUGGUGGGCUUUUCUGCAGGCCAAGUCCAACUCAUAGAUCCAAUCAAAAAAGAAACUAGCAAAUUAUUUAAUGAGGAAAGACUAAUAGACAAGUCCAGAGUAACCUGUGUAAAAUGGGUGCCGGGUUCGGAAAGCCUUUUCCUAGUAGCUCAUUCCAGUGGUAAUAUGUACUUAUAUAAUGUGGAACACACAUGUGGUACCACAGCUCCACACUACCAGCUACUUAAGCAAGGAGAAAGCUUUGCAGUCCACACUUGCAAGAGCAAGUCCACAAGAAACCCUCUCCUUAAGUGGACAGUGGGAGAAGGUGCCCUGAAUGAGUUUGCUUUUUCCCCAGAUGGGAAGUUCUUAGCAUGUGUGAGCCAAGAUGGCUUUCUCCGGGUAUUUAACUUUGAUUCAGUGGAGUUGCACGGUACAAUGAAAAGCUACUUUGGAGGACUACUGUGUGUUUGUUGGAGCCCAGAUGGAAAAUAUAUUGUAACAGGUGGAGAGGAUGACUUGGUGACAGUUUGGUCUUUUGUGGACUGUCGAGUAAUAGCUAGAGGCCAUGGACAUAAAUCAUGGGUCAGCGUUGUAGCAUUUGACCCAUAUACCACUAGUGUAGAAGAAAGCGACCCGAUGGAAUUUAGUGGCAGUGAUGAGGAUUUCCAAGACCUCCUUCAUUUUGGCAGAGAUCGAGCAAAUAGUACGCAAUCUAGGUUAUCAAAAAGGAACUCUACAGAUAGUCGCCCGGUAAGCGUUACAUAUAGGUUUGGCUCAGUAGGCCAAGAUACACAACUCUGUUUAUGGGACCUUACAGAAGACAUUCUUUUUCCCCACCAACCCCUCUCCAGAGCAAGGACACAUACAAAUGUCAUGAAUGCCACAAGUCCACCUGCAGGAAGUGGUGGAACCAACCCAGGAAGCAAUGGAAACAGCAUCACGAUGCCUGGAAAUUCUGUGCCCCCGCCUCUUCCACGGUCCAACAGCCUUCCACACUCUGCAGUCUCGAAUGCCGGCAGUAAAAGCAGCGUCCUGGACGGUGCCAUUGCCUCUGGUGUCAGCAAAUUUGCAACUCUCUCACUACAUGACCGGAAAGAAAGACACCAUGACAAAGAUCACAAGCGAAAUCAUAGUAUGGGACAUAUAUCUAGCAAGAGUAGUGACAAACUGAACCUAGUUACUAAAACCAAAACGGACCCAGCUAAAACUUUGGGAACCUCUCUGUGCCCCCGAAUGGAAGAUGUUCCCUUAUUAGAGCCUCUUAUCUGUAAAAAGAUAGCACAUGAAAGACUGACUGUGUUAAUUUUUCUUGAAGACUGUAUAGUCACUGCUUGUCAGGAGGGAUUUAUUUGCACAUGGGCAAGGCCUGGUAAAGUGUGAACUGGAACCAUCUCAGAAGUAUAGGUUCUUAAUGGGUCAUUCAGCAAGUAUUUAUUCAAGCAGUAUGUACCAGUCACUGUGCUAAGCGCUGGGAAAAUAAAGAAAAGCCGAAAAGCCGAUGUAGUAGAUAACAUCACAGAGUGGUCCUCACCUUUCCCUCUGACUCACUGCCCCCCUUUUUCUGACAGCCAGCAAAACACUUCUCCUCUAAUCAGGAGGACAGAAUACAAGGAGCUCUUUUCCUAUGAGGAUUUCCUUCUAUAGCCUUGAACUAAAUUUGCUUGACACCUUUUUUCAAGAUAGACGCUGUCCUAUUAGAAGUAGCCACCUCCUAGAAAAAUCUAGAAAACAUUUCCAUUUUAGAAACUGAUAUAUAGAUAGACAUAAUUGAACUGGGCAGCGCCCUGGGACCUCCAUCCCUGAAUGCUUCAGUGCAGGAGUUCCAGGCCUACACUCACACAAGUCACCAUCAGAGGUACCACUGAGUAGUGGUUCCUGGGUUCUUGGAUCUGAGAGGAAAAGAGCUCCUAUAGAUUCUGAAGAGGUGUCAAAUUCUACAUUCCAAUUGGUAUUUGCUUCCUGGUCUUGUCUAGAUUAAAGGAUCUAAGUUACAGGAACCUAACUUUAAGGGUUUAUUGUCAUCCCAAAACCAGGCCAAUUCUCCAAGUGGAACUGUAGUGUAGCCAUCCCAGUACUGCGAACAAAACCCACCCCAGGACAAGGAAUAAUGACAAGGGCACCAAGAGCUGCUCUCUUCAGCCACAGAGCAUCGACAUGUCUAAAAUGGCCGAAUGUAAACCUGGAAUUCUGGGGAACAUAGUGUGGUACAGAAGAGUAACGUCAUAGGUCCUUUUCCAGUGUUGUUUCCUUGGCUGCUCACCCAAAGAAUUUUCUGUUUUAAAGUAAUUCUUUUGGUAUUGCAGUUAAAAUGAGAAACUAGGUUUUCUUGCUUUUUACUUUAAAGUUCAAUGUAAUUAAAAUAUAUAUUAUAUAUAUGCAUAUAUAUAUGUAUAUAUAUAUACAUAUACAUACAUAUAUAUACAUAGUGUAAAAUAAAAUGUUUCUUGGACAAAAAUACCCUCAAGUUCAGUUGUUACAAAAUAGUACCUUAACCAUUGUUUGUUUUUUGCACUGAUUUUUUUAUACUUGAGGUGGUAAGACAACCUAGGAAUGCACUCAGAGAGUCAUUUUUCUGACUUCAGUAUAUAAUUCAGGAAGAUGGAUGCUGCAAUCAUAGAUUUGUUUUAAAAUUGCACUUAAGAUAGUUUAAUGUUAGUAGAGUACUUUAAAUAUGGGUAAAUAGACUUCCCAGCAAUGCUAAGUUGUGGAGAUAAGAAAUCCUUUGUAUCUAUUAAACCUUUAUUUUAAUAAUAAUGUUUCUAAUUACAAUCAGUUCUGUAUUAUAUGUAUAAAUGUAAUUCAAUGAUUGGGGAAAAUGGUUUUCACCUAGUAAUUUUCAUCAUCAUUUAAGAGUAUUUCUAACUCAGAAAAACAUUAAUAUUAAACUAUUUUAAAUAUGCAGCUUGUUUAUUUUCUGUUAAAUUGGCACAAUUUUGAUGUAAUCAUUCUUUUGUUGAAUUAAAUGUCUGGUUAGUAAUUAUUUUAUUCCUUGAACACCUUGUCCUCUCCAGGCCUUUAAAUUUCAAUUUCACUGCGGCUAUUCAUGAAAACUACUAAUACUGUACUGAGUUUAUUCUCUAGAACUCAGUCUCUACCUUCCUUCUGUUCUUUUCUACAAGGAUGACUUUUUUUUAAAGGCCUUUGUGUGUUACGACAUGGAAUCUUCAAAGUUUGUGUUUUUUAAGUUUACCAUUCAAUUCCUUUGUCUGACAACAUUAAUCCUUUUGUGCAAAGAUCUAUAAUCAUAGUUAACUUACAUAUGUCUUCUGAGGUCAAAAAUUAGAUCACAACUAUAAGGUCAAUUUGCAUUUGGAAACUUUACAGUAAUCUAAGCAUAAUUAAGAAUUAAGCAUAAAGGUGCUUUUCAUACUAAUCAAUCAAAUGUAAGAUGAUCCAAGAUGUCUAAUUAUUUCUCAGGUCUAAUUAUUUUUUUCUUUUCAACUAAUUAAGUUGCAUACAAGUAACCCUUUAUCUCAGGUUCUCUCCAAACAUAUUUGUAUAACAUCCUCCAGAAAAAUUGUCACUCCAGCAAUUGCCAAGUAGAAAAAUAUUUCUCAUUAAAAAAGUCAUAUACAAUUUUA